rnacentral:lncRNA from 1 species
GCCAUUUUUAGUCUUUACUUCAUUUCCGUUAUAUGACAAUGAGCAAAGAGAGGCAACUGUAAUAACCCAAAUUUGCCCGACCCAAAUUAGAAAUAAAUAAACAAAAAUAAACCAAAUAAAAUAAACCCAAAAUCUUAAAAUGUCCACAGUCCAUUACAGCAGGCCUAAUGGCCCAAAUUCACUGUCCAAAAAAAAAAACAGCUUUAACCCAAACCCAACUAGCCUAAACCCAAAACCAAGCC